CCUUUCAGGAAGCAACAAAUAUAUUCAGAACAUACCAAACCUGGACAGUAACUGCAGUGUUGGAGUACUUAAUCCAUAAAUCCUCCCCCAAUGCUCAUAGAAAUACAAAACCACUGUGAAUACUAGAAGUUGGAUCUAGCUGACUUCUGGAUUACUUCAAAUCCCAUUGACUUAAGAGGAACUGCCCAAUAAAAAAUUCCAUCAAAACUGCUCAUCUGAUUUCAGCAUUAGUCUUCAAAAUACCUGCUUUGGAGCUAUCUUCCUUAUAAAGGGAGAAUGACACCAGCAAGUAAUUUUGUGGACCAGCAGACAUCUCCACCUACAGGACAGAGACAGCAAAAUGCAACACAGACAUGAUUUUAUUUAGUCUUCUAAUUUGUGCUUCUUCUGGAACUAAAACCUAUACAUUUUAUCUUCAUUAGGUCAAGAAACUGCCUUUCUGUCAUGUAUCUAGAACCAUGACCACCUCCAAAUCUAGAAGAAUUGAGUAACAAUUUGACAGCAACAAGUAUUUUACAAUAAUCCUGCAUUAGUGUGAAGCAUGAAACUUGCACAGACUGGGAACCUUGACAGAGGGAAAGAUGCUGCCAGAAUUAAGUUUUUCUCUACCACUUUUAUUUUAUUAUUUUAUUCGGUCCCCCUGUGAAUGGAUCUCUAAAUCACUAAACAAAUCUCCCACAAUGCUUUUUUCUUAUUCAAGACACUGCCUUGUUGUAUUCAGAGGAUGAUGCAGGAUUGUUUAAUAAAAGUGAAUUCUUCUCUUAUAAUUUGGAAGGUUAUCUGGAAGCUAAGGAGGAAAACAAAUUUAAGGGAGGUCUAAUGAUUUAAGUAACCACUAGUACCAUAUGAAACUGGAUUUUAGCUUCAUUUCUGCUGCAAAGCAUCUGUGAGUGAAGUGGUGCAUGGUUUAUUUGAAAUAAAUAAUGCUUAUUCUGUGCGGGUAGUAGUCUUUUUACCUCAGAAACCAGAUUAAUUGUCUGUCUCACUGAAAGAGAUUAUGUAGUUCAUCCUCAAAUAUUUUGUUCUUUCACUUCCCUGCACAUAUUGAGUGUAUUUUAUGAUGAAAAAAACCUGAAAAGUGUCAAAAGAGACAUCCUCAUUUCAACUUCUUUUAUUCUUUUCAACUGGAAGGUAUUUGGAACAUUUUUAAAGGUUUGCAAGUAAGUGAAAAAAUAAAAAAUUACAGAAAGCAUUUCAAGUAUAAAGAUUUAGGAGGAAGGCUAAGAUUACUGAAAAAAAAAAAAAAAGAAACCAAAAAAAACCCCCAACUUUUUAUCUAGAAGUUAAAAUAACCCAAGAAUGUCAUAAAUCUAGUAGAAGCUUUUGGUAACAGAGAAUUUUCAAUUCUGAAGGUAAAAAAAUAUUAUUAGAAGUCAAAUAGAAAAUUAACACAGACUUGUUUUUUUGUAAACUGUUGUCGUUUAAAUUCUCCUGCAGUUUCUAGCUGCCAAGGAAACUGAAGUUUCUCUGAAACCUCCAUAAAUGUCCCUUGAUGAUGUGAGUUUGUAUUCCCCUUAUCUAUUGAAGUGUUAUUCCAAAUUAGUAUUACCCCAAGGAUCUGAAACUGCAUCACUAACAUUACGAUUUUCAUGCCCAAAGGCUGCCAAAUGAAUGGCUUAUACAACAUGUUUAAGUGACAGCUUCAAAGAAAAGAAAUUCAAUAUCCUUAUGAUACAGCUAAGAACUCUUAAAUCAGCGAUGAAGCAGUAUCUUGCUUCUCUUAUGCAGAAAUAAAGAACAUUAUAUUUACAUUCUUUCACAUAUUGAGUGAUGGGCAAAAAGGAGUAGAAAGGAAGGUAGAGGCUGUGAAAAUAGAAAUAGAGAGUCUCAUGAGACCUGAUUAGGGGCUUCUGUGCUAAAAUAUGAGGUUUUGUGAUUGUUUCUUGAGAUCAGAGAACAGUCCGUCAUGCUCACCGGAAAUAGAAUGCAUGCCAAGUGACUUGUCACUCAAGUAGAAGACAGACAAAUGGGUGCAGUAAGGAAACAAAAGGAAGACAUGGAAUAUCAAACAACCUGCUAAUGUGGUAGGUAGGAAAUGUUUGUGAUUCAGCAGCUUCCUAAGCAUAACAUCCUUUCACUGUGAAAGGUGAAUGACUUUCACAUGGCAGGUGUUCGUCCUCCAGGCAUGAUUUAUGAUGUGGGCCUGAACAGUUUCCAGAGAAUCUUCACUGCUGGUAGAAACAAAAUGAUCAAGCUCUGAGUGAGAGAAUGUGGGAACAAAAAUGAUUUAUAAAUUGAAAGAAUCCUGAAAACUUGCUGCAACAGUGCACCUGAAAGAAAUGUUUUCAGAAAGAGUUUGAUAUUUGCUUAGAUUUAAGUCAAAAUUCUGCAGCACAUGUGUGAAACUAGGAGAAUUCUAUUUCUCUGUAAGUAUACAUUAGACUUCAGCCUGACAACCAAAUUAUGCUUCAUACUCAAAGAGAAUAGUUUGGUCCCACAACCAAACUACUUUGCAGUUUGUACAUAAUGUUUGUGUAGUAAUAACAGUAAUUCCUUGCUUGAAAAAGUAGUAGUAGGAAAGUAUUACAACAGGAUAAAACCUUGCAAGCUUGUUGAAGAAAUUACUGGGUAAAUUCCAUUGCA